UACGUAGGGGGCAAGCGUUGUCCGGAUUUACUGGGCGUAAAGAGCGUGUAGGCGGCCAGGCAGGUCUGUUGUGAAAACUGGAGGCUCAACUUCCAGACGUCGACAGAAACCGCUUGGCUAGAGUCCGGAAGAGGAGAGUGGAAUUCCUGGUGUAGCGGUGAAAUGCGCAGAUAUCAGGAGGAACACCAAUAGCGAAGGCAGCUCGCUGGGACGUUACUGACACUGAGGCGCGAAAGCGUGGGGAGCGAACAGG
rnacentral:rRNA from 1 species